rnacentral:lncRNA from 1 species
CAUUACAUCAAAGUUGUAUCAGCCUGUAGUGUGGUUUUCCACUUUAAUUUUGAGUGUGACUCCAAAUCCAGACCUCCAUGGGUUGAUAAAUUGGAUUUCCAUUGAUUAUUUUUGUGUGAUUUUGUUGUCAGCACAUUCAACUAUGUAAAGAAAAAAGUAUUUAAUAAGAUUAUUUCUUUCAUUCAGAUCUAGGAUGUGUUGUUUAAGUGUUCCCUUUAUUUUUUUGAGCAGUAUAUUUUGUUUAAUGUUUUUCUUCCUUUUGUUUAGUCUGCUGUUGUUUAGUUAGAUUAUUGAUUGUUUGUUAGUUUCUACAAUUGUAAAGCUAUGUAUGUUUCAUGUAUAAUUACUGUUAUUAUUAAAGUAGAGGAGUUAGUUCAGGCAAGCAACAUUUCAACACAUUCUUUUCACAUAUCCUGUGUAUAAGUUUAUUUAUAAACUGGGUGGUUCCAGCCCUGAAUGCUGAUUGUCUGAAUGCCUUGGUAUAUCAGACCCUAUGACAAAACAUUUAUUUUUACUGCUCUAAUUACAUUGGUAGCCAGUUUAUAAUAGCAAUAAGGCACCUCGGGGGUUUGUGGUAUAUGGCCAAUAUACCACGGUUAAGGGCUGUGUCCAGGCACUCUGCGUUGCGUCAUGCAUAAGAACAGCCCUUAGCCGUGGUAUAUUGCCAUAUACCACACCUCCUCGGGCCUUAUUGCUUAAAUAUACAUGCUCACCUCUGCCAAUUGGAAACUGUUGUCCACUUGUCUGUCCCAUUUCCUUAAUAUGUUCUAUAUCGCAGUGGCAAUCAACACCCAUACCCCCACACUAUAACCUUCCAACCCUCCUCCUGUUGCUGCCCAAGAACUGUCUGAUACAGUUGCCCCCCAGGAGACCAGCUACACCCCCAUCCUCAACCAGGUUGAACCCCCGAUAUCCCCCACCACCCAGGAGACCAGCUACACCCCCAUCCUCAACCAGGUUGAACACCCGAUAUCCCCCACCACCCAGGAUGCCAGCUACACCCCCAUCCUCAACCAGGUUGAACCCCCGAUAUCCCCCACCACCCAGGAGACCAGCUACACCCACACCAAACCAAAGAAGACAGAGAGAAAGUCCUGUCGCCCUCAAAAAACCCUCCAACUCGCUGAGCAUGACAGUUCACCCCAUCCAAUCCCAUUCAACCCCAUCCAACCCCAUCCAACCGUAUCCUACCCCAUUCUACCCCAUCCAACCGUUUCCAACCCCAUCAAACCCCAUUCUACCCCAUCCAAGCCCGACCAAGGAAGAGGAAAUAUGACUACAUGCAAAAAGAGUGUCCAGUGCAUCCGGGGCAAAUGAUUUUCCCUAUUCUCAAGAUUUUUGCCAAUAGAACUUCAAAGGGGGGUCAGGAGCAGAAAGUGAGGUGGAAGCUCUGAAUGUGGCAAGAAAUGGGACGAUGACUGGAUCAAGGCCGAGGACCGCGUUUCUCCAGUUUAACCUACUUUAUGCACGAAUGUAUUCCUCACUCUCCCUUCACAUGUAUCACUGUCAAUCAUAAAUGGUUGGCCAAAUUCACCAUGAUUUACCAUUGAAACAUUCAUGGAGCGUCAGCAUGCCAACCAUUUCAUCUCAAUCAGUUUCAUGAGAAUAUGCAUUUAGAUAUUCUUCAUAUAAAGUGAGCUACAAACAUAUUGCAACAGUGACACAUUUUUUGUUGUUUUGGAUCUGUACUCCAGAACGUUGUAUUUUAAAUUAUACAAUGACUAUGAGGUUAAAGUGCAGACUAUCAGCUUUAAUUUGAGUGUAUUUUCAUCCAUAUCUGGUGAACCGUUUAGAAAUUACAGCACAUUGUGUACAUAUCCACCCCGUUUUGGGGGACCAAAAGUCUUGUGAUAAAUUCACUUAUGUGUAUUACAGUAGUCAGAAGUUUAGUAUUUUUGUCUUUUAUGUUUGUAUUGAUUCAUUUUACUAUGUUAUUAAAUAUAUAUGUUUAA